CUGCACCCCGCCGAUAGUCUUUUCAGCGGGCCAAGGGCAUUUUGGUCUUUCCAGCGGGCCAAAAAGGCAGGCAGCGCAGGCAGGAGCCAGAGCGCGACCCUAGCCGCGUCCUCGCCUCCUCCUCCAUCCUCGCCGCCUCCUCGCCUCCUCCUCCAUCCGCGCGCCGCCUCCUCCAUUCGCGCGCCUCGGCGGCGACCCCAUGGCGGGCGGCCGGGUCGGAGCGGUCCCCCGCGUCCCUCCUUCCCCGCUCAGCGCUCUCUAGCCGUCGCGCAGCAACUCCUCUCGUCUCCUUCUCUCGCUUCAGCCGCCGCCGCUAGCAGCUCCGCCUCCCCGCCUGGCAGCGGCCAGAGAAGAGCUGCUUCGCCUCCCCACCUCACCCCCCGCUCCUCUCCACCCCGUAGCCGCCUCCCUAGCUCCUCGUCCCCUUCACCAGUCCAUCCCUCCUCAUCCCAAAUCCAGCGGAUCAGAGGCGUGCGGACGCAGAGGCGAAUUUCUCCAGCGGCGAUGGCAACCUGCAAGCAAAGGGCGGUGGCGGCGGCGCUCGAUUUGAUCUGCAGGAGAGAGAGAUGGAGAGGAGGGACGCCGCCAUGGGAGAGCAGGGCCAACAUGGUCUUCAUGGUGGGCAUGGAGGAGCAGAGGAGGAUGACGGUGGGCGGUGGGAGCAGAGUAGCAGGACUUCCUGGCGGCGCUCGCGUCAUGGUGGAGUGGAGGACUCGUCGUCCAUCAUCGCCAUCCCCAAUCUAGAUCUGAGCUAGAAAAGAAGAGAAAUAAUCUUGUGGAAUUUCAGAUCUGAGAUAGGAACGGGGAGAAAUAUCUUAUGAAAGAGCUUGACGAAAAAGGAAGGGGAGAGAGAAAGAGGAGAGGGAGGUGUGGCGACGGACGGGAGAGGGUCGACCUCACGGUCGGUGGCGGCUUGAUCUGAGAGGAAGACGAGAGGGAGGUGUGGCGGCGGAUGGGAGAGGGCCGACCUCGCGGUCAGUGGGGGCUCGAUCUCUACAAGAAAGAAGGGGUUUGAACUCCUCCCAUGUGAGCAUGAGAGGGUGAGAAGAACAGAGCUGGAGGCAGGACCGCGAUGCCAGAGCUCUAGGCGUCGCUCGCGUUGUCGUGGAGUGGAGAAGCGUCGCCGGCCAUGACUGAUGGUCGUUGCUCACCGGUCGUCGUCCCCUGUCCCCAAUCCAGAUCUGAGAAAGAAAGAGGAGAGGAAGAAUCCUGAGGAAGAGUUUGAUGAAGGUUUUGUCUAUCAAGAACUACAUAUGCUCGACAUGGUGUCAUGGUAUCUGUAGUUGUUGUGGAGCCUGCUGGUAUUCUCACCUUCCACUGCCUCUUUCCCCUCUCUGUGCCUCUGCGAGCUACAUUGGAAGAAUCCAUGUAUUUAGUUGUGGCAUGUUUGGCAGCUACAGCAGCUUGAUAAUUAAUUAUUUCUCAUCCAAGGGGGAUUUAUUCACAAGGCUUAUCUUGUGGUGUGUCGGCAGCGCGACUGUACGCCACUGUUACUAGGUUGUUUCAUUUCUACAUCAACACAGGCAAAAUGCUUAUGUAUUGCACAUAUUCUUAUUUCUUUUGAUUUUGCCUUGGUUGUUAUUUUGCCAAUCCUAGCCCGUCGCCAAGCUCAUGAUGCUGGUGUGCUCCGCCCAAGUGUCUGAUCUAGGGGCCAAUUGGAAGGACAGGUUUUCUUCUUCACUGUUACCAGAUUUCAAAUGUACUAUCUAGCAGACUAGCACGUGUGCAUAUGAUGACUCCUUUUAUCUUUGAUGAAGGUAUUGGGAUUUCUUUAGGGGAAAUGGUAACAAUGGUGUUUGAAAUGGUGCUUCUCAAUUAUAGGUGGAAAGCCUGGCAUGGAGGCACAUAGGCUUGCUGAUUAUGUUUCUGGAUUGGCCCUUGAGAAGGAGACCAAAGCAAACUUCAGCAGGUAUCAGGUAUCUAAGAAUGCUGAUGAUUACACUCGGAGCAAGCCUUGUCGCGGCGCUGCAAGUGUUGCCCCCCUCCUCAAGGGCAAGGUGAAGGAAGGUGCCUGUGUGGUUCUUCUGCAGCUCGCAACGAGGAUUGCUGUGUCCCUGCACAAGAAUGCCAAGAAGUCCUUCUCAGAGACGAUUAAGGACAUGUACAUGCACUACAACGAGAGAUCUGGGCUGCUUCUUUGUGGCUUCCAAACUUGAAAUGUUUAUCUGGAAGUUAGUUUAGUUUUUUUUUGUGGAUUCACGGCUUCUUACAUGUACCAUCCUCUUAGACCUUUAGGUUUCCAAAGAAACUAAAUAAAGAUAUGGUGGUAUGGUCUCAA